UACAGAGGUGGCAAGCGUUGUUCGGAAUUACUGGGCGUAAAGGGCGCGUAGGCGGCCUCUUUAGUCAGACGUGAAAUCCCCGGCUUAACCUGGAACUGCGUCUGAUACUGGAGCUAGAGUUCGGGAGAGGGAUGUAGAAUUCCAGGUGUAGCGGUGAAAUGCGUAGAUAUCUGGAGGAAUACCGGUGGCGAAGGCGGCAAUCCUGGACCGAAACUGACGCUGAG
rnacentral:rRNA from 1 species